AUACGUAGGUGACAAGCGUUAUCCGGAUUUCCUGGGCGUAAAGGGCGUGUAGGCGGUCUUGCAAGUCAGAAGUGAAAUUCCUGAGCUCAACUCGGGCGCUGCUUCUGAAACUGCAGGACUUGAGUGCUGGAGGGGAUAGCGGAAUUCCUAGUGGAGCGGUAAAAUGCGCAGAUAUUAGGAAGAACACCGGUGGCGAAGGCGGCUAUCUGGACAGUAACUGACGCUGAGGCGCGAAAGCGUGGGGAGCAAACAGGAUUAGAUACCCUGGUAGUCCACGUUGUAAACGAUGAAUACUAGGUGUGGGGGGACUGACCCCCUCCGUGCCGCAGUUAACACAAUAAGUAUUCCACCUGGGGAGUACGGCCGCAAGGUUGAAACUCAAAUGAAUUGGCGGGG
rnacentral:rRNA from 1 species